UCAACAAUUCCUACUUUCAUAUCAUACAAUAGUACUUUCACAUCAUACAAAAGUACAAUAGUGAAAAAAAAAACAUGAAGAGUUGCAUUAUGCUUCUUCUUUUCUCUAUGGCAAUAUUUUUCACUUUGUUUGACCCUUCGCUAGGUCAGCAGUUUUGCCCUGGAACCUUCAUGGCUAAUGACACAUGUGCUAACAUUAGUUGUGGCAAUCUGGCUCUAUUUCACUGGCCAGCAAGUAAGAUGCCUCAUAGUUGUACUUGUGCUGCUGCAGGAAGCAAUCAAAGCCUUUGUACAUGCCAAAUAGUUUGUUAAGCAAAUUAAUGCAAAAGAGUGGUUAUUAUUGAUGUU